CUCGUAUAUCAAAUAUCUAUGGGCCAUUAUUAGUGGUAUAUCCCCUUAGCAUCUCUUCUUCCCAACAUAGCUGAUCCGAUUGAACUCUCUCUGUUUUUCUAAACAAAAAUCUCUUGAAAAACACCAAAAUCUGCGAAAUCCAUGCCAAUUCCGAUUCAAAAUCAAGAAACUAAGCCGAAAAAAUUGAUUUCCCUAUUCAUAAAAUGUGUAAUCAUGGCUUUAAUCCUCUCCCUUUUCUUGAUUUUCCUUCUUUUCCUUGGUUUCGCCGCGCUUGUACUCCUCCACUUCUUAAUCACAUCAACAGCCUUCCGCCGACGUCAUCGACGUCGCCACCACCAUCGAUUUCCGGCGAACCCAACAUCAUCGUUUGAUUUGCCUUGUGUUAGUUAUUGUGGGUCACAGCAAUCUGUUAGGGAUUGUGCGAUUUGCUUGGAGGGAUUUAAGGAUGGAGAAAUUUGCAGGAAAUUACCUGAUUGUGGACACCUUUUUCAUGUGAAAUGUGUGGAUUCCUGGCUUAUUAGGGUUCUGAAUUGCCCGAUUUGUCGGACCCGGGUUCGGGUUGAUUUGGGAAAUUCGGGUUCUGUUAUCAGUGAUGAAGAUUGGAAGAGAUGGUGGGCUGUUGGUGUUUCAGGGUAGCUGCUUUUUUGCUGAAAUUUCUGCAUUUUGUGGUUGAAUUGAACCGAGAAAUCACAAAAUCGCACACAAACUAGUACAAGUUGGAGGAGCUAACGAUUUGCUGAUAUCAAGAGGAGAAAGAUGGAGUGGAAAGAUUUUCUUAACGUGGACUUACGGAGGUUUACAACAUGAACGGUAGCUUUCUUUUAGUGUAGUUUCUUCCCAAAUUACUGAUUUGGAGAUAUGAUCAUAUGUAUAAAUAUAAAUGCGUACCCAUUCUAGCGGUUUGCAUAACAUAAAAUUUUUGCCUUAAAACUGUGUAUUGUACAUGAAUGAGUUUCGCGCUUUUUCUUGAAUGUGUAACUCUGUAAUGCAUAGUGUCUCUUAAUUGAGUAAUGCAUCUCUGUUGUACAAAUGUUUAGUGGGAGAAAUGAACAUUUAACUGUUCAAUCUUUCGUUCAAAGGGCGUGAAUGAACCUUCAUAUCGUUUAUUAUCA